ACAUGAAGACCUUCCAGGAUGAAAUCUUCGACCU
rnacentral:siRNA from 1 species